GAUGAACGCUGGCGGCGUGCCUAACACAUGCAAGUCGAACGGAGAUUACGGACGGAAGUUUUCGGAUGGAAGACUGUAAUUCUUAGUGGCGGACGGGUGAGUAACGCGUGGGCAACCUGCCCCAUACAGGGGGAUAGCAGCUGGAAACGGCUGGUAAGACCGCAUAAGUCGGUUAAAUCGCAUGAUCUGUUCUGGAAAUGAGCAAUCAGGUAUAGGAUGGGCCCGCGUCCGAUUAGCCAGUUGGCAGGGUAAAAGCCUACCAAAGCGACGAUCGGUAGCCGGGCUGAGAGGUGGGACGGCCACAUUGGGACUGAGACACGGCCCAAACUCCUGCGGGAGGCAGCAGUGGGGGAUAUUGCACAAUGGAGGAAACUCUGAUGCAGCGACGCCGCGUGAGUGAAGAAGUAUUUCGGUAUGUAAAGCUCUAUCAGCAGGGAAGAUGAUGACGGUACCUGAAUAAGAAGCCCCGGCUAACUACGUG
rnacentral:rRNA from 1 species